rnacentral:lncRNA from 1 species
AUGCAUUUCGAUGGACUUAUUGGUAUUUCCAACCCAAGAAGGCUGCCUUAUAGGGCCAAUACCUAGGAAAGUAAAUAGCGCAAUCUCUGUGCUACUCAGUGGUCAGGAGAUUCUUCUGCAUUUAUCUGGAAGUUUCUAAUGCAAGCUGCCUUUGUGAAAAAGAACUCCCACAUCGUGGAUGUGUCCAAUUCAGAAGAACAAUAAACAUUGACUGUGGUACAAUAUCACUGCACAGACAGAUGCUCCAACUAUUGAGGGUAUUUUUUUGUCCACAGUUUCAUCAAACAUCAAGAGUCUCUUUCUAGGUCAGCUCCAAUGGAAAAGUACUUAUUUUAGAACCCUCAUUUUUUGUUUCCCUAGCAAUGCUGUGACAUCAUAUCAAGGUUCUUACACUCAAAAUUACAGCCUAAAUGUCCUUCUUGGUUCUUCUCAUACAACUCAUAUUUGGAGGUGUUUCAAUCUCCUCAUUAGAUGUAGCAAACCUAAAAUAUGCUGAAAAAAAAAAAAA